rnacentral:lncRNA from 1 species
AUAUUGAAACCUGGAAACGAUGAGGCUGCACGGCUCACCGUCUUGGAUAAUGGCAAAGAUGGCCUGCAAGUGCGUGACUCUCGUUAUGGAAAUCUCUGUCCUGGAGAGGUGCUUACGAAAAGCGCCAUCUUACUCUAGGCAGGUGCCUGGAGUGUCCUACGAGGACGAGGACCAUAUUGAAUCGUGACGGAUUUUCUUACAGGAGUCACUUCCUAACUGUAGUCUCCUGGCAGAAAAGAGGCAACCUCCAGCCGGUAGUCCCAGACGAGGUACCUGCAGAGAAUGAUGUAUGAUCUGGUCAUAGACACCGUGGAUUUCAACUCUCCAGAGUCUAAACGCUGAAAACACCCAACUUGAUUUAGUGCCUUACACUCUUUAUCUCCGAUUUUUCAGGACGACACCUGUUAAAAUGUUUUGCCACACUUUCGGCGUGUAUUCCGAUUAUCUUUUUGGAAAAUUUGAUCCUGUUAAAUAGACUAUACGUGGGAUCAACCCAAUUCCUGAUAAAAUCGGAAGCAUAAUGAACUAUCUAAUGGCCUAUAUUAGCUCCCAGUUCUAUUAUAAUGAUAAAUGCUACCGAACUCUCACCAUAAAUAUGCUUUUUCUGCGCCCCAAAGGUAAACUUAACCACAACACCCUGACAGUACAGAUAGCAAGUGGCAAAACUGAGACAGAAACUCAAGCCUGCCUCAUUACAACAGCAGCAGUCUUCACCGCUGCUGGAGCUGGCAAGGUCACCAAGUCUGCCCAGAAAGCUCAGAAGGCUAGAUGAAUAUCAUCCCUAAUACCUGCCACCCCACUCUUAAUCAGUGGUGGAAGAACGGUCUCAGAACUGUUUGUUUCAACUGGCCAUUUAAGUUCAGUAGUAAAAGACUGGUUAAUGAAAACAAUGCAUCGUAAAACCUUCAGAAGGAAAGGAGAUGGUUUUCUUUUUUGCGUGUGGCAGUUUUAAGUUAUUAGUUUUUUAAAUCAGUACUUUUUAAUGGAAACAUCCAAAAAUUUGUCACAGAAUUUUGAGACCCAUUAAAAAAGUUUAAUGAGAAAAAAAAAAAAAGCAAACCUGCCUCUAAUUUGUCUGCUCCACCUUGGAAAGUGAUAUCUUAAAUUUCAAAAAGAAUUACCACAUUUAUCCCUGGCGAGGACGUGAGGAACAGUCUAAUCUCAUACACUGUUGGCAGGAAUGUAAAUUGGCACGGCAUUUUUAAAAGGGAAAUUAACAGAAUUUAUCAAAAUAUUAAUUGGACGUAAUCUUCAAUUUAGCAGUUUCACUAAUAAAUAUUGUAGAGAAAUCCUUAUAUGCACAAAAAAGUAUGUACAAUAAUACUACAGCAUUGUUUGUAAUAGUGAAAAAAAUGGAAACAAAAUGACCAUCUAUCAAUGGGAAAUGGUUAAUGGUAUAUCUAUUACUAUGAGAUGUUUUGAACUAAAGGGUUAGCCAUUGAAAGAGAUCCAAGAUUUUUUAAAGCCAACUGCAAAAAACAUACAGCAUUAUCAACUUUUGUCGAAACACCCCAAAAUUAUAUAUGCAUGCAUGUAAAUGCAUUGAGAAGGCUUUCAAAGGAUAUAAGGCUAAGUGGGGGAAAGAAACUUAUUUUCUCCUCCAUAUAUUUCUCUGUUGUUUAAGAUUUAUAUAGCUAUUAUUGUCACUGAAUACAUGUUAAAAGAAAAAUAAAGACAGAAAAGUGGUUUAUUACUUGUUGUUCCUUAUUUCUGACCCUAUGAUCUCAUCUGAAGCCUAGGUCAUAUGACUACACCACAUUGUACCUCUUUUUUUUUCUCUGUUCUGUGUUAUCACUGGCAAUCAUUUUUGGAGGAUUCUGGCUUCUGGUUCACCUUCUUACUAGUUUAUACUCUUCCUCUUCUCCCAAAUCUUUUAGAGAUUUCAAAGCCCAUAUAGUUAACUCUUCCUAGCCAUACAAUCUCUUGACAUAAAUUCUAACUAUCUUUACCUCUCUUUUCUACCUCACCUGUUCUUCUUCAUGUUCUGCACAUUGUUAGCCUUCUCUUUAUUCCUCCCAUCUCCUUGUUUCAACAGUUCUCUUGCCAGCAUCCUUAAGUUUCCUUUCCUCUUUGUCUUUCCAUCACAGCCAACCCAAAAGACUCCAGUCUUAUAUAUUCCAACCAUCUCCCUCCAUCAUUCUCCAAAAGCAAAUCACACAAUUAUAAAGAUUGGUGUCCCUAAAAGUUUAUGGGUUUGAGUCUCAGCUUUGCCCUUAACACCCAGAUUUGCCAUUGCUAGUUUUUAUUUUCAUUCCCUUUAAUGGUUGUUCCAAAUUUUGCUGCCCUUUCAGGCCUUCAACUCUAAGUCUUCUCUUUUUCUUUCUUGACAGGUAAAACAUCUUACUACUUCCCUAAGAAAAUAAAGUUUGUGUGAACUCUCUCAACUUAAUGACACCCUAUUCAUACUCCUAUCUGCAUCUUCAUCUAUUCUUUCUCCUAUCCACUUGUGUGUGCCCUGGAUUCUCCUCAGGGACCAAUCUCCUCAGGGACCUGGUUAAUCAGUUAUCUCCUUUCUUUCCUGUAUCUUAAAACUCAUUUUCCAUUCACCCCUUUCCCUCACCAUGUAAGUAUAUUCAAGUCCUUUCACCUAAAAAAAAAAAAAAAAAAAAACCCUUACUUAACCAUGUUUUUUCUUUAUAUAAAUUUAAAUUUCCCUUCUCUUGCUUCAUCUCAACAGAAACAGAAAAAAAUACAGUCUUCCUCACUCUCACCCACGAUGUCUUCUCUAGCUUAACUGAUCACAUUGCCAUAAUUUUCCAUACAUGCCAUUUUUAUUCAUGCUGAACAUAUUUGUCCAGACUGAAAUGCACUUCCCGUUCAUUCCUUGGUAAGAUGCCUUUAGAUCUAAUCUAAAUAUCAAUUUAUCUCAGAAGUUUUCCUCAACUUCUCUAAAUAGAACUGGUAACUGCCUCCUCUAUGCUCCCACAACAUUUGUACAGCUGUUUUAGUUCUUAGCACAUUGCAUUCAACUGCUUGUUGGCAUCUCUGUUUUCCAAGGGAAAGAAACAGGUUUGUGUUUUCCCAGUAUCUAGCACAGUUUUCAGACUAUAGUAAGAACUCUGUAUGUUUAUUUGCUAAAUGAAUGAUCAUUUCAGCCUGCCUUAACAGGGAUGAUUUGUUCUUUCCCAAUCAAAAUAAUUAAAAAUGUCUUGGGCCGGCACAGUGGCUCACGCCUGUAACCUCAGCACCUUGGGAGGCUGAGGCAGGCAGAUCACUUGAGGUCAGGAGUUCAAGACCAGCCUGGCUAACAUGUUGAAACCCUGUCUCUACUGAAAAUACAAAAACUAGCUGGUCAUAGUGGUGCAUGCCUGUAAUGCCAGCUACUUGGGAGGCUAAGGCAGGAGAAUUGCUUGAACCCAGGAGACGGAGGUUGCAGUGAGUCAAGAUCAUGCCACUGCACUCCAGCCUGGGCUACUGAAUGAGACUCCGUAUCAAAAAA